rnacentral:lncRNA from 1 species
GAAAACACUUUUACACCGUCGGGAGCCUCUGUUCCCGAGAGAUCCAAUCUUGGAGCCUUUUCUGGUAAUCUGUCGGAGAGGGAAUUGAUCACGGAGGGCAUCUUCAUCAACUCCAUUGCCCCUCCGAUGAUGUGUGAGUAGUUCACCACAGACCUACGGGUCCAUAACUAGUAGCUAGAUGGCUUCUUCUCUCUCUUUGAUCUUGAAUACCAUGUUCUUCAUGACCUUCAUGGAGAUCUAUCCGAUGUAAUAUUCCUUUGCGAUGUGUUUCUUAAGAUCCGAUGAAUUGUGAGUUUAUGUUUAGAUUAUCCAUGAAUAUUAUUUGAGGUCUCUUCUGAAUUCUUACAUGCAUGAUUUCAUAUCUUUGCAAGUCUCUUCGAAUUAUUUGUUUGGUUUGGCCAACUAGAUUGGUACUUCUUGCAAUGGAGAAGUGCUUACUUUUGGGUUCAAUCUUGCAGUGUCCUCGCCCAGUGACAAUAGGGGUAGCAAGGUACGUAUUGUAUUGUUGCCAUCAAGGGUAAAAAGAUGGGGUUUUCAUCGUAUUGCUUGAGUUUAUCCCUCUACAUCAU